GACGAACGCUGGCGGCGUGCCUAAUACAUGCAAGUCGAACGAACUCUGGUAUUGAUUGGUGCUUGCAUCAUGAUUUACAUUUGAGUGAGUGGCGAACUGGUGAGUAACACGUGGGAAACCUGCCCAGAAGCGGGGGAUAACACCUGGAAACAGAUGCUAAUACCGCAUAACAACUUGGACCGCAUGGUCCGAGUUUGAAAGAUGGCUUCGGCUAUCACUUUUGGAUGGUCCCGCGGCGUAUUAGCUAGAUGGUGGGGUAACGGCUCACCAUGGCAAUGAUACGUAGCCGACCUGAGAGGGUAAUCGGCCACAUUGGGACUGAGACACGGCCCAAACUCCUACGGGAGGCAGCAGUAGGGAAUCUUCCACAAUGGACGAAAGUCUGAUGGAGCAACGCCGCGUGAGUGAAGAAGGGUUUCGGCUCGUAAAACUCUGUUGUUAAAGAAGAACAUAUCUGAGAGUAACUGUUCAGGUAUUGACGGUAUUUAACCAGAAAGCCACGGCUAACUACGUGCCAGCAGCCGCGGUAAUACGUAGGUGGCAAGCGUUGUCCGGAUUUAUUGGGCGUAAAGCGAGCGCAGGCGGUUUUUUAAGUCUGAUGUGAAAGCCUUCGGCUCAACCGAAGAAGUGCAUCGGAAACUGGGAAACUUGAGUGCAGAAGAGGACAGUGGAACUCCAUGUGUAGCGGUGAAAUGCGUAGAUAUAUGGAAGAACACCAGUGGCGAAGGCGGCUGUCUGGUCUGUAACUGACGCUGAGGCUCGAAAGUAUGGGUAGCAAACAGGAUUAGAUACCCUGGUAGUCCAUACCGUAAACGAUGAAUGCUAAGUGUUGGAGGGUUUCCGCCCUUCAGUGCUGCAGCUAACGCAUUAAGCAUUCCGCCUGGGGAGUACGGCCGCAAGGCUGAAACUCAAAGGAAUUGACGGGGGCCCGCACAAGCGGUGGAGCAUGUGGUUUAAUUCGAAGCUACGCGAAGAACCUUACCAGGUCUUGACAUACUAUGCAAAUCUAAGAGAUUAGACGUUCCCUUCGGGGACAUGGAUACAGGUGGUGCAUGGUUGUCGUCAGCUCGUGUCGUGAGAUGUUGGGUUAAGUCCCGCAACGAGCGCAACCCUUAUUAUCAGUUGCCAGCAUUAAGUUGGGCACUCUGGUGAGACUGCCGGUGACAAACCGGAGGAAGGUGGGGAUGACGUCAAAUCAUCAUGCCCCUUAUGACCUGGGCUACACACGUGCUACAAUGGAUGGUACAACGAGUUGCGAACUCGCGAGAGUAAGCUAAUCUCUUAAAGCCAUUCUCAGUUCGGAUUGUAGGCUGCAACUCGCCUACAUGAAGUCGGAAUCGCUAGUAAUCGCGGAUCAGCAUGCCGCGGUGAAUACGUUCCCGGGCCUUGUACACACCGCCCGUCACACCAUGAGAGUUUGUAACACCCAAGGUCGGUGGGGUAACCUUUUAGGAACCAGCCGCCUAAGGUGGGACAGAUGAUUAGGGUGAAGUCGUAACAAGGUAGCCGUAG
rnacentral:rRNA from 1 species